rnacentral:rRNA from 1 species
AUGUCCCUUCUUUUCAAUAAUAUUAGUAUCGCCAUCAAUGGGGGUUUGGGGUUUAAAGAGUUUGAACUUUUCAACUUGGCUAUGCUGGCCAAGCAGGCAUGGCCUCUGUUGCAAUUCCCUGAUUCCCUAUGUGCUCGCCUACUCAAAAGUAUCUACUAUCCAAACACUUCGGUACUUGAUUCUAAUUUGGGGAAUCACCCAAGCCAAAUAUGGAGGAGUUUGAUUGAGGGGAGGGACACCCUUAAGCUGGGUCUGAUCAAAAGAAUAGGCAAUGGGGAAACGACCAGAAUCUGGGAAGCAAACUGGCUGCCGCGCGAGGAAAUGAUGAGACCGUAUGGGUGCAUCUCACAGAACCCACCAGAACUCGUCUCGGAGCUCAUAGAUGCCACGUCAACCCAAUGGGACAGACAGAGGGUGUCGGAAGUCUUCAUGCCAAUGGAUGUUCGCGUAAUAAUGGCUAUCCCUUUGUGCACCAUGAACAUUCCAGAUUUCUGGAGCUGGCAUUAUGAAAAGAAUGGAAAAUUCUCUAUUAAAUCAGCCUACCGCAUGAUGGUGGCGACAAGAGCUAGAAGAGAGGCAUGGCUUGAAAGCACGGCCGGAUCUUCCAGCACGUCCAGUGAGGAGGGUGCAUGGAAGAAGCUGUGGAAAACUCAAGUGUCGGGCAAGGUGAGGAUGUUUCUCUGGCGUUUGUCCAAACACUCAAUCCCAACCAACGAUGUGAGGGCACACAGACACAUGAGUGACUCAAGUGCUUGUGGCCUCUGUGGCGCGCAAGACUCCUGGAGGCAUUCCCUAAUAGAGUGUUCAAUGUCCAGAUGUAGAUGGUCACUGAUGGACGUGGAGAUCACGGAAAAUCUUGCAGCGAUAACUGAACCAAACGCCAAACAAUGGCUGUUCACUUUGAUGGAGACAAUGUCACAUGAGCUUUUUGUGAGGCUCUCAGUUACACUAUGGGCAAUCUGGGCAGCGAGACGGAAGGCAAUUCAUGAAGGGAUUUUUCAAAGCCCUCACUCUACACACGGCUUCAUCACCAGUUUUAUUGAUGAGCUAGACAUACUGAAGGUCAAACCACCCCAGGUGACUUGA